GCAUAGCUUAGUCAGUACAGCACGAGGCUUUUAAUCCCAGGGUUGUGGGUUCAAAUCCCAUGUUGGGCA